rnacentral:rRNA from 1 species
GACGAACGCUGGCGGCGUGCUUAACACAUGCAAGUCGAACGCUGAAGCUCAGCUUGCUGGGUGGAUGAGUGGCGAACGGGUGAGUAACACGUGAGUAACCUGCCCUCUUCUUUGGGAUAACGCCCGGAAACGGGUGCUAAUACUGGAUAUUCACUGAUUCUCGCAUGGGGGUUGGUGGAAAGGUUUUUUCUGGUGGGGGAUGGGCUCGCGGGCUAUCCGCUUGUUGGUGGGGUGAUGGCCUACCAAGGCUUUGACGGGUGGCCGGCAUGGGAGGGUGACCGGGCACAUUGGGACUGCGAUACGGCCCAGACUCAGACGGGAGGCAGCAGUGGGGAAUAUUGCACGAUGGGCGAAAGCCUGAUGCAGCGGCGCCGCGUGAGGGAUGGAGGCCUGCGGGUUGGAAACCUCUUUCGCUCAUGGUCAAGCCGCAGCGUUGGGUUGUGGUGAGGGUAGUGGGUAAAGAAGCGCCGGCUAACUACGUG